GUUGCUUUAGCUCAGUUUGUUAGAGAGUGGUGCUGAUAACAACACCAAGGUUGCAGGUUUGAUCCCCAUAAGUGACA